rnacentral:rRNA from 1 species
AGGACGAACGCUGGCGGCGUGCCUAAUACAUGCAAGUCGAGCGGACAGAUGGGAGCUUGCUCCCUGAUGUUAGCGGCGGACGGGUGAGUAACACGUGGGUAACCUGCCUGUAAGACUGGGAUAACUCCGGGAAACCGGGGCUAAUACCGGAUGGUUGUUUGAACCGCAUGGUUCAAACAUAAAAGGUGGCUUCGGCUACCACUUACAGAUGGACCCGCGGCGCAUUAGCUAGUUGGUGAGGUAACGGCUCACCAAGGCAACGAUGCGUAGCCGACCUGAGAGGGUGAUCGGCCACACUGGGACUGAGACACGGCCCAGACUCCUACGGGAGGCAGCAGUAGGGAAUCUUCCGCAAUGGACGAAAGUCUGACGGAGCAACGCCGCGUGAGUGAUGAAGGUUUUCGGAUCGUAAAGCUCUGUUGUUAGGGAAGAACAAGUACCGUUCGAAUAGGGCGGUACCUUGACGGUACCUAACCAGAAAGCCACGGCUAACUACGUGCCAGCAGCCGCGGUAAUACGUAGGUGGCAAGCGUUGUCCGGAAUUAUUGGGCGUAAAGGGCUCGCAGGCGGUUUCUUAAGUCUGAUGUGAAAGCCCCCGGCUCAACCGGGGAGGGUCAUUGGAAACUGGGGAACUUGAGUGCAGAAGAGGAGAGUGGAAUUCCACGUGUAGCGGUGAAAUGCGUAGAGAUGUGGAGGAACACCAGUGGCGAAGGCGACUCUCUGGUCUGUAACUGACGCUGAGGAGCGAAAGCGUGGGGAGCGAACAGGAUUAGAUACCCUGGUAGUCCACGCCGUAAACGAUGAGUGCUAAGUGUUAGGGGGUUUCCGCCCCUUAGUGCUGCAGCUAACGC